UUUGUACUCAAGCUUAGGUUAGUUUAUUUUUCUAAAGUCGAAUAUAAGUUCACAAUACUGUUAUCACACUCCUUACUGAUUGAAGAAAUUCCAAAAGCAUGAGGUAACAUAUAGAGGCAUUGACUGCUGUUUUACUGUGCAAGCUCUUUAACCAACUAAUAUUUAUAGGUUUCAGCUUGGAUAAAUGAGGGUAGAUGCAAAGGUUUACCCAAAACACGUCGAAUCAGCAAGCAAUCUGUAGCUACAUCAUCCUCUAUUUCGAAAAGAAGUAUCUCUCUGAAAGAAUAGUUUGAAUCGCAAUUGUUAGUAUGCAACUAUAUGCAACUUGUUAAGUUAAAAAAUUUAAAGUAAAAAUUAUUAGUAAAAAUAAAAAUGACAAGUGCAAAGUAAAAAUGUUUAUUAA